AACGAACGCUGGCGGCAUGCCUAACACAUGCAAGUCGAACGCGUGUAGCAAUACACGAGUGGCGGACGGGUGAGUAACGCGUGGGAACCUGCCCAGUGGUAGGGAAUAACUGCGGGAAACUGCAGCUAAUACCCUAUACGCCCUUUGGGGAAAGAUUCAUCGCCAUUGGAGGGGCCCGCGUCGGAUUAGCUAGUUGGCGGGGUAACGGCCCACCAAGGCAACGAUCCGUAGCUGGCUGAGAGGAUGAUCAGCCACACUGGGACUGAGAUACGGCCCAGACUCCUACGGGAGGCAGCAGUGGGGAAUAUUGGACAAUGGGGAACCCUGAUCCAGCAAUGCCGCGUGAGUGAAGAAGGCCUUCGGGUU
rnacentral:rRNA from 1 species